CGGUGAAUACGUUCCCGGACCUUGCACACACCGCCCGUCAAGCCGUGGAAGCCGGGUGUACCUAAAGUCGGUAACCGCAAGGAGCUGCCUAGGGUAAAAUCGGUGACUGGGGCU
rnacentral:rRNA from 1 species